rnacentral:lncRNA from 1 species
CACUGCUUGCUGCAGCCAUGGUCAACCCCACUGUGUACUUCUCACUGCUGAUGGUGAGCCCUUGGGUCGAGGCUCCUUCAAUCUGUUUGUAGACGGAACGAAAGGAUUUGGCUAUAAAGGUUCCCCCUUUCACAGAAUUACUCCAGGAUUCAUGUACCAGGGUAGUGACUUCACAUACCAUAAUGGCACUGGUGACAGAUCUAUCAAAGGAGAGAAAUUUGAGGAUGAGAUCUUCCUCCUGAAGCAUACAGGUCCUGAAAUCUUGUCCAUGGCAAAUGCUGGACCAAACACAAAUGGCUCCCAGUUUUUUAUCUGCACUUCCAAGACUGGAUGGCAAGCAUGUGGUCUUUGGGAAGUUGAAAGAAGGCAUGAACAUUGUGGAAGCCAUGGAGCAUUUUGGGUCCAGGAAUGGCAAGACCAGAAAGAUCACCAUUUCCUAC